UGCGUAGGUGGGGUGGUAAGUCAGUGGUGAGAUCUCCAGGCUUAACUUGGAAACUGCCAUUGAUACUAUCAUUCUUGAAUACCGUGGAGAUGAGCGGAAUAUGUCAUGUAGCGGUGAAAUGCUUAGAUAUGACAUAGAACACCAAUUGCGAAGGCAGCUCGUUACACGAAUAUUGACACUCAGGCACGAAAGCGUGGGGAUCAAACAGGAUUAGAUACCCUGGUAGUCCACGCCCUAAACGAUGGAUACUCGACAUUUGCGAUAAACUGCAAGUGUCUGAGCGAAAGCAUUAAGUAUCCCACCUGGGAAGUACGAUCGCAAGAUUGAA
rnacentral:rRNA from 1 species